UACAGAGGGUGCGAGCGUUAAUCGGAAUUACUGGGCGUAAAGCGUGCGCAGGCGGCUUUGCAAGACAGAUGUGAAAUCCCCGGGCUCAACCUGGGAACUGCAUUUGUGACUGCAUGGCUAGAGUGCGGCAGAGGGGGGAUGGAAUUCCGCGUGUAGCAGUGAAAUGCGUAGAUAUGCGGAGAACACCGAUGGCGAAGGCAAUCCCCUGGGCCUGCACUGACGCCUCAUGCACGAAAGCGUGGGGGAGCAAACAGG
rnacentral:rRNA from 1 species